rnacentral:rRNA from 1 species
AUGGCGACCUCCAAGCCACGCCGUUCCAGUCGUACGAGGAGAACGGCGACGACUCUGGCGGAGAUCCCCGACCACCUCGUCGCGGAGAUCUUCCUCCGGCUGCCCGCCGCGGAAGACCUAGUCCGUGCCUCCGCCGCCUGCGUCUCCUUCCGCCGUCUCGUCACCGACAAAUCCUUUCUCCGCCACUUCCGCCGCCUCCACGACCCGCCCCUCCUCGCCUUUUUCGACCGCAACGGGUUCCACCACCCCCUCCCGCCUCACCCCUUCGCGCCAGCCGCCAGCGCGCUCGCCGACGCCGCCGACCUCUCCUUCUCCUUCUUCCCCAACCACGGCCGCUGGUCCGUUCAGGACAUCCAUGAAGGACGCAUCCUCCUCCUCCGUCCUGGCGCCGCCAAGCAGCCCCAGGUCUCGAUGGAGGCCGCGGUGUGCGACCCCUUGCACCGGAAGUACGUCCUGCUUCCCCCAGUACCUGAUGACCUGGCCGCUUCGAUGAUGCACCACCCGGCCACGGCGCACACACCCUGGUGCGAGGCUUUCCUUGUUCCCCUUGAUGAGGAGGCAGAGACGGCAUUCGGUGUGAUGUGGAUGUUACAUUUCACAACUAGGCUGGCAGCGUUCGUCUACUCCUCGACCACUAGACAGUGGCAAGCUGUUGCAUCCAAGGAGUGGAAUGAGUUGCUCCUUGGAAAGGGCAAGUCGACCAUGGUGUCACCGAUCGACCGUGACUUUUAUGGGCGCUAUUACGCCUAUGGCUGCUUCUACUGGGAGUCCACCAUGAUGGGGAAGAAAGAUUUGCUCGUGUUUGACACCCGGAGAAUGGAGUUCUCUAGUUGUGACCUCCCACCAAAAGAAUUGUGUCCGCUAGGUCUGGCCAUUGUGGAGGCAGGGGAAGCCAGGCUUGGCUUGUUCGGUAUCCAUGUUGAAGCCGGAAAGUUUGAUCUAUGUUAUUACAUCAAGGGAAACAAAUGUGAGAGUUCUAGCCAGUGGCAGCUGGAGAAGACAAUCCCAAUAUGUUCAGGCUGCUGGCCUGAUAUCAAAGCUGCAACCGGGAGGUACUUGCUCCUAGGAAAGUUUGGACCCAUGCGGUUCGUAAACUCAACUGCACACGAAGAUUUGGAAUAUAUCUCAGUUGAUGUCAAGACAUUGCAGCUUGCGAGGGUUUGUACUAAAUCUUCCGGGUUUGCCUUUUCCAAGACGUGGAUAUAUACCAACUUCCCACCAUCAUUGUCUUCACCAAAAAUAUGA